rnacentral:tRNA from 1 species
AACAAAGUGCCUGAAAAAGGGCCAUUUUGAUAGAAUGGAUUAUGUAAAAUUUACGUUUGU